UGCUGGAACUUUUUUUCAAGCAAUUUUGAAUAUUAUAUUUGAAAUUGGUAUAUUGUGUUUGACUUGAGUACAUAAAGUAAUAGAAAAGCCCAAUGUGCUGUAUACAGUAAAACGGUUCGCAAACGAAUAGUUUGCUGAGGAGCAAAAGAAAAUAAGUGACUUCAGGAAAAAAGAAAAAAGUGACUUCAGGGAACAUUCAAAGCGGCAGUACGUGCAAGUACACACACUACGCUUGGGUUGCACAGUGGGAGGACAGCGAAUGAACCUGCACUACGGUGUAAUCUCAGUCACAUGUGGCGAGCCAAAUAGCAAAGUCUGCCAGGGACCAAUUUCUGCGACCCAAAUAACACCACACCGCCAUUGCAGCAAACUAGUUUCAAGAGUGAACCGUUUGGUCAGAGACCGCGGCAUCCUGCCAGUCCGCAUUCAUGCAGAAGUUAAGCGUAGCUUGAAAUGCAAUGAAUUCCAUAGCAGCUAUUAAAGGCAUACUUUGAUGCCCCUUGCUGUCCUUGCUGACUGGGAAUGACAUCCAUGUGCUCAAUUUUGACUCGGCUUGAGAACGUCACAUGAUCAAACCUUGAAAACAGGGGGCGCAGGCGUGCGAUCACAUGACAAGGAAGCGAUGGCACGAAAAAGUGGAGCGCGCCGAAGCGAUGGGAGGAAAGGCGCCCCUCUGCUCCGUGACCGUCACCUUUCCUCUCAUCCCACGCACGCAGAGGCUCUACAGUGCGCGCCUCCUCGAGCGCACCCUGAAGCCCUAGUGUUUCCAUUUGAAAUAUCAGAUGAACUGCCAAUUUCCAUUUGACAGUAUUUUAGAGAAAGAGAAAAAAAACACUGUCAAUGUUAAGUAAUUGCAAAUACUAAAAAUAAAUAG